CCUACGGGUGGCAGCAGUGAGGAAUAUUGGUCAAUGGACGAGAGUCUGAACCAGCCAAGUAGCGUGAAGGAUGACUGCCCUAUGGGUUGUAAACUUCUUUUAUAUGGGAAUAAAAUGUUCCACGUGUGGGAUUUUGUAUGUACCAUAUGAAUAAGGAUCGGCUAACUCCGUGCCAGCAGCCGCGGUAAUACGGAGGAUCCGAGCGUUAUCCGGAUUUAUUGGGUUUAAAGGGAGCGUAGGUGGAUUAUUAAGUCAGUUGUGAAAGUUUGCGGCUCAACCGUAAAAUUGCAGUUGAAACUGGCAGUCUUGAGUACAGUAGAGGUGGGCGGAAUUCGUGGUGUAGCGGUGAAAUGCUUAGAUAUCACGAAGAACUCCGAUUGCGAAGGCAGUUCACUGGACUGCAACUGACACUGAGGCUCGAAAGUGUGGGUAUCAAACAGGAUUAGAUACCCUAGUAGUC
rnacentral:rRNA from 1 species